UAAGUCCUGCGAGGCAGGUGCUGACACGACGGUUAUUUGAACCAACACCGUCUAAAAGGGAGCCUAACUCGCUUUUCCGGUGCGCCAAAGGCUUUGCACCGCAGAGCUUGAGGCCUAAAGGGAGGCGGAGGGCACCCACCUCAAUGAUGAGGUUCGAAUCACGCGGGUCACACGGCUGAGCGGGCUGCUC
rnacentral:other from 1 species